rnacentral:lncRNA from 1 species
CUUUCAUCCCAGGAUCCUCUAGCUUUGACCCUGUAGGUCUGUCCCUGGGAUUCUGUACAAGGCUCAGAGGGUUUGGAGUACCGGUGUGGACUGUGUGGUCAGGGGUUUAUGCAGUGUCGCGGGGUUCUGAUUCACUGUGUCCCUUCAGCAGUGGCAAGUCCUCUCCAUAUGUUGGCCACCCAUGCAUCAGCAUCGGCAUCCCUGCCCACAAAGCGCCAGAAUGGUGACCAGGCAGAGCAGCCAGAGCUCAAGAGAGUUAAAGCAGAAGAUGGGGAGAGCAUUGUCAUUGCCCUGAGUGUGGAUGCACCACCAGCAGCUGUGAGAGAAAAGGCGAUCCAGAACUAGUGUGGGAGGCCUUUUCUUCAGACAUCAACUUUGUGGUGCCAAAAGGAGAUGCUGCCUCUCACUGAAGCGGGAGCACAUCCUCAGUGGGUAAAAGGGCCCUGCGGUUGGACUUCACCUCUCAGCACUGAAAACAUGAACCCAGGUGGCCUUAAAACUCCUUAAUUUAAAGACAUCUUACACUUGAACAGACCCACAACAGCAACCCUGGUUCCAGAGGUGGUGUCUCCGACAGAGCACUCGCUGGGCUGUCGUCUGUGGGCUCAGCUUUUACUACAAGCAAGAACUCCAGGUCCCAAAGGACUGAGUCUCCUGUGAGGACGCAGCACCUGCUACAAGUGGACCUUGCUGGCUUUCCUUUAGGGGACAGAGCCACAGCCACCUGCUGCCCUUAUAGGAUUUGCUGGCUGUGGCUGAGAGACAAGACAGUAUUUUGUUGUCCACAUGUGGAAUUAGAAUACUUGGGGAUGUCCUUUCUUUACUAAAUAAUGGGGUCUUUGACAUUUCAUAUCACUCCAUUUCUACUCUGGAAAUUUGAGAUUCAUUUGGGG